rnacentral:rRNA from 1 species
CGCUAAUACCGCAUACGUCCUACGGGAGAAAGCAGGGGACCUUCGGGCCUUGCGCUAUCAGAUGAGCCUAGGUCGGAUUAGCUAGUUGGUGAGGUAAUGGCUCACCAAGGCGACGAUCCGUAACUGGUCUGAGAGGAUGAUCAGUCACACUGGAACUGAGACACGGUCCAGACUCCUACGGGAGGCAGCAGUGGGGAAUAUUGGACAAUGGGCGAAAGCCUGAUCCAGCCAUGCCGCGUGUGUGAAGAAGGUCUUCGGAUUGUAAAGCACUUUAAGUUGGGAGGAAGGGUUGUAGAUUAAUACUCUGCGAUUUUGACGUUACCGACAGAAUAAGCACCGGCUAACUCUGUGCCAGCAGCCGCGGUAAUACAGAGGGUGCAAGCGUUAAUCGGAAUUACUGGGCGUAAAGCGCGCGUAGGUGGUUUGUUAAGUUGG